AUGCCUACGGGGGGCAGCAGUGGGGAAUAUUGCACAAUGGGGGAAACCCUGCUGCAUCAACUCCUCGUGAGUGAUGACGGCCUUCGGGUUGUAAAGCCCUGUCUUCAGGGACGAUAAUGACGGUACCUGAGGAGGAAGCCACGGCUAACUACGUGCCAGCAGCCGCGGUAAUACGUAGGUGGCGAGCGUUGUCCGGAUUUACUGGGCGUAAAGGGAGCGUAGGCGGGCUUUUAAGUGAGAUGUGAAAUACUCGGGCUCAACUUGAGUGCUGCAUUUCAAACUGGAAGUCUAGAGUGCAGGAGAGG
rnacentral:rRNA from 1 species